rnacentral:rRNA from 1 species
GUUAAGCGACUAAGCGUACACGGUGGAUGCCCUGGCAGUCAGAGGCGAUGAAGGACGUGCUAAUCUGCGAUAAGCGUCGGUAAGGUGAUAUGAACCGUUAUAACCGGCGAUUUCCGAAUGGGGAAACCCAGUGUGUUUCGACACACUAUCAUUAACUGAAUCCAUAGGUUAAUGAGGCGAACCGGGGGAACUGAAACAUCUAAGUACCCCGAGGAAAAGAAAUCAACCGAGAUUCCCCCAGUAGCGGCGAGCGAACGGGGAGCAGCCCAGAGCCUGAAUCAGUGUGUGUGUUAGUGGAAGCGUCUGGAAAGGCGCGCGAUACAGGGUGACAGCCCCGUACACAAAAAUGCACAUGCUGUGAGCUCGAUGAGUAGGGCGGGACACGUGGUAUCCUGUCUGAAUAUGGGGGGACCAUCCUCCAAGGCUAAAUACUCCUGACUGACCGAUAGUGAACCAGUACCGUGAGGGAAAGGCGAAAAGAACCCCGGCGAGGGGAGUGAAAAAGAACCUGAAACCGUGUACGUACAAGCAGUGGGAGCACGCUUAGGCGUGUGACUGCGUACCUUUUGUAUAAUGGGUCAGCGACUUAUAU